CUGGUAUUGAUUGGUGCUUGCAUCAUGAUUUACAUUUGAGUGAGUGGCGAACUGGUGAGUAACACGUGGGAAACCUGCCCAGAAGCGGGGGAUAACACCUGGAAACAGAUGCUAAUACCGCAUAACAACUUGGACCGCAUGGUCCGAGUUUGAAAGAUGGCUUCGGCUAUCACUUUUGGAUGGUCCCGCGGCGUAUUAGCUAGAUGGUGGGGUAACGGCUCACCAUGGCAAUGAUACGUAGCCGACCUGAGAGGGUAAUCGGCCACAUUGGGACUGAGACACGGCCCAAACUCCUACGGGAGGCAGCAGUAGGGAAUCUUCCACAAUGGACGAAAGUCUGAUGGAGCAACGCCGCGUGAGUGAAGAAGGGUUUCGGCUCGUAAAACUCUGUUGUUAAAGAAGAACAUAUCUGAGAGUAACUGUUCAGGUAUUGACGGUAUUUAACCAGAAAGCCACGGCUAACUACGUGCCAGCAGCCGCGGUAAUACGUAGGUGGCAAGCGUUGUCCGGAUUUAUUGGGCGUAAAGCGAGCGCAGGCGGUUUUUUAAGUCUGAUGUGAAAGCCUUCGGCUCAACCGAAGAAGUGCAUCGGAAACUGGGAAACUUGAGUGCAGAAGAGGACAGUGGAACUCCAUGUGUAGCGGUGAAAUGCGUAGAUAUAUGGAAGAACACCAGUGGCGAAGGCGGCUGUCUGGUCUGUAACUGACGCUGAGGCUCGAAAGUAUGGGUAGCAAACAGGAUUAGAUACCCUGGUAGUCCAUACCGUAAACGAUGAAUGCUAAGUGUUGGAGGGUUUCCGCCCUUCAGUGCUGCAGCUAACGCAUUAAGCAUUCCGCCUGGGGAGUACGGCCGCAAGGCUGAAACUCAAAGGAAUUGACGGGGGCCCGCACAAGCGGUGGAGCAUGUGGUUUAAUUCGAAGCUACGCGAAGAACCUUACCAGGUCUUGACAUACUAUGCAAAUCUAAGAGAUUAGACGUUCCCUUCGGGGACAUGGAUACAGGUGGUGCAUGGUUGUCGUCAGCUCGUGUCGUGAGAUGUUGGGUUAAGUCCCGCAACGAGCGCAACCCUUAUUAUCAGUUGCCAGCAUUAAGUUGGGCACUCUGGUGAGACUGCCGGUGACAAACCGGAGGAAGGUGGGGAUGACGUCAAAUCAUCAUGCCCCUUAUGACCUGGGCUACACACGUGCUACAAUGGAUGGUACAACGAGUUGCGAACUCGCGAGAGUAAGCUAAUCUCUUAAAGCCAUUCUCAGUUCGGAUUGUAGGCUGCAACUCGCCUACAUGAAGUCGGAAUCGCUAGUAAUCGCGGAUCAGCAUGCCGCGGUGAAUACGUUCCCGGGCCUUGUACACACCGCCCGUCACACCAUGAGAGUUUGUAACACCCAAAGUCGGUGGG
rnacentral:rRNA from 2 species